UCCUGGCUCAGGACGAACGCUGGCGGCGUGCUUAACACAUGCAAGUCGAACGGAGAUUUAUUUCGGUAAAAUCUUAGUGGCGAACGGGUGAGUAACGCGUAGGCAACCUGCCCCACAGCCGGGGACAACUUCCCGAAAGGGAAGCUAAUACCGCAUGAGACCUGAGGGUGAAAGCGGGGGAUCGCGUCCGAUUAGGUAGUUGGUGAGGUAACGGCCCACCAAGCCGACGAUCGGUAGCCGACCUGAGAGGGUGAUCGGCCACAUUGGGACUGAGACACGGCCCAAACUCC
rnacentral:rRNA from 1 species